GAUGAAGAACGUAGCGAAAUGCGAUAAGUAAUGUGAAUUGCAGAAUUCAGUGAAUCAUCGAAUCUUUGAACGCACAUUGCGCCCCUUGGUAUUCCGAGGGGCAUGCCUGUUCGAGCGUCAUUAUAACCCUCAAGCUCAGCUUGGUGUUGGGGCCUGCUGCACUGGCAGCCCUUAAAAUCAGUGGCGGCGCCAUCUGGCUCUAAGCGUAGUAAUUCUUCUCGCUAUGGAGUCCUGGUGGAUGCUUGCCAUCAACCCCCAAUUUUUCUAUGGUUGACCUCGGAUCAGGUAGGGAUACCCGCUGAACUUAAGCAUAUCAAUAAGCGGAGGG
rnacentral:misc_RNA from 1 species